rnacentral:rRNA from 1 species
CAGCAGCCACGGUAAUACGGAGGAUCCAAGCGUUAUCCGGAAUCAUUGGGUUUAAAGGGUCCGUAGGCGGUCUUGUAAGUCAGUGGUGAAAGCCCAUCGCUCAACGGUGGAACGGCCAUUGAUACUGCAGGACUUGAAUUAUUGGGAAGUAACUAGAAUAUGUAGUGUAGCGGUGAAAUGCUUAGAGAUUACAUGGAAUACCAAUUGCGAAGGCAGGUUACUACCAAUUGAUUGACGCUGAUGGACGAAAGCGUGGGUAGCGAACAGGAUUAGAUACCCCCGUAGUUCCUGUCCUUAUACA